GUAGAAGCAUAUAAAACAUUAUUAGAGAUUGUGUUGGGUCUCCCUGAUCAAGCUUACACUCUUCAAAAAUAUUUCACUCACGUACUUGCAUCUAUGUGGAGGUCAACGUCUCAUUAUGAAGGUUUUCCCUUGGUAUGAAGUAGUUUCCAAAUAGUUUCAUUCUUCUUAAGGUAAUGAUACGUUCUUUGUCCAAUGUGGCUUUGUUAACCAGAUUCUUACAUCCGGGCAGAGGAAGGGACUAUUUUAUGGCAAGCGAGAAUACCUUAACUAAGCAAGAAUGCGGAUAUUGGACCUUUUGUCAAGCUGCACACAAGCUGAUUUUUACAAAUGGGUUGACUAGUCAAUAGCAUUCGAAGUUUGGUAAUCUUAAAAAACUUCUGGAGCUUAGGUUGGACAGUAAUAAGAUGAGUGGAACUGCACCUCGUGCCAAUGCUUCUAAUUCUAUAUCCGACGCACAAAAAAUAUAAGUAGAUUGAUGCUGGUGUAAUGAACAUUGUAUAGGUAGCAAAAUCGACGGGUUGGGCAAAUGAGUCUAAAUGACUUUGAAUUAAAUUUGGUAAAAAAAUUUGGGCAUUUGUGAACAUGUUAGGUCGUGGCUCAACUGGCAAGUACAAUGUGGAUUACUGUUUAACUUUAUAUGUUUUGUAAGUUUGUUUUAUCGGUAAUAGACGGAUGUGGUUGAUCCUAAAAGUCAAAGCAAGGGUAAGGGUGAAACCAAGGCCUAAUUGGAGUCGAAGGGUGUUAAUUACACUUCUAUAAGACCAGUUUAUAUCUAUGGCCCGUUGAACUAAAACCCAGUUGAAGAGUGUUUUUUCCACAGUUUGAAAGCCAAAUGACCAAUCGCAAUUCCCAAUUCAGGCUUGCCAGUAGCCUAACUCGGUCAUGUCAAGGAUUUGGCGGCAGCUUUUAUAAAGGUUUUAGGAAUCGAAAAAGCCAACAAGCAAGUGUUUAAUAUAGCUAAAGAUAGAUAUGUUACCUUUGAUGGGUUUGGAAGAUCUUCUGGUCAGUUGAUGGUGACAUGCACAUCUCAAGUGUGUACACUUGAUCAGCAGACGAAACAAGCGUUGCUUGGCAGAGCGGCGGAACUGGAAACUCAACUUGCUAAUCACCAAAGAGAAGUUCAGAAAGCCAAGGACCAACUAAGCAAUCCAGGCACACGAGGAAGCCGAAGAGGCCAAAAAGAAGCUUGCAGAAGUGUCAGAAAAGCUUCAAGAUUAAUAACAACAGAUUGAUGAGAUUUCUGAAAAGUUUCAGAAGAAUUCUGACUUCAAGAACUUAGGAAGAUCUUAUAAAACCGGUAUAGAGAAUGGGAAUCUAAACUGGAUGUUGUCUAGAAACACCGCUCUAUCAUGCUUGGGUACUCAAAUUGUUGUGUAUUUUUUAUUUAUAAGUCGAUGAAUAAUAUGGUUUAUGAAACAACUUUAAUUGGCGAAUUAAACCAGCAACAAAAUACUUGCAAACAAUAUAUUUAAAACA